GACGAACGCUGGCGGCGUGCUUAACACAUGCAAGUCGUGCGGAAAGGCCCUUCGGGGUACUCAAGCGGGGCACAGGGGAGUGUAACACGAGUAACAUCCCCCCACCUUUGGGAUAACACUCGGAAAAGGGGGCUAAUACCGUGUACAACACAUCUUCGCGUGGGGUGGGGGUGGAAAAGCUUGCGGUUUGGGAUGGGCUCGCGGCCUAUCAGCUUGUUGGUGGGGGGUUGGCCUACCAAGGCGCCGACGGGUAGCCGGCCUGAGAGGGUGACCGGCCACACUGGGACUGAGACACGGCCCAGACUCCUACGGGAGGCAGCAGUGGGGAAUAUUGCACAAUGGGCGGAAGCCUGAUGCAGCGACGCCGCGUGCGGGAUGACGGCCUUCGGGUUGUAAACCUCUUUCAGCAGGGACGAAGCGUAAGUGACGGUAACUGCAGAAGAAGCGCCGGCCAACUACGUG
rnacentral:rRNA from 1 species